CCCUUCCCCCUUCUUCUUCUUUGUCUUCUGUGUCUUUCUCAUUAUAUUUAUAUAUAUAUAUAUCUAUCUCCUUCAAGCUAGUAGCGCUUUCUCUCGCCAUUUUUUUCUGCUGAACACGGUGAAUGUUGAGGAUCUGCCACUUUUCUCAAAUUGAAUGAGAUGUAUGUUCAGAGAGGAUUUGCCGGAUUAUAGCAGAGUUUGAUUUUGGAAUUCUCAAGUGAAUUAGAUUUCCUUAGUUUCAUUGAUAUAUUCUAGCGUUCGUGAAGAUUUUUCCCUUCUUAAGAUACAUAUUUUUCUUGGAAAAUCACGGAUUUUGGAGCUCUGAACUUCGAUAGUCCUGUAUUACAGGGAUGAUCGUGGCCGACUUGAUUUUACAGCCAUAGUCGGAGACAGAAGCUCUGAAAUGUCGCCAUUAUUUGGAUUUUAGACAUAGAUUCGCAUUUCUGCAGAGUUUAAGAACUGAAAUCGGGAAGCUUUCUCCGUCUCAUGCGACAGCGGAACCAGAUUUAGGAAAUCGAAAACUCG